UUGAACUCACCGUAUAGUCUGUUUACAUGUAUUGAUUGAUAUAACUUUCUCCGACUUUCUAGGACGUGUUUUAUGCCACUUUUUCUGUCUCAUUUUGUCCACCACACUUUUAACGUUGUGCAUGAAUGCACAGAGAAGUGAGGCAAACCGGGCGAACUUAGCCAGGUGGGUGAUGCAACGUUCCAACAUCCUUGCAGAGACAAGUGUCACAUCGCUCCUCCUCGUAAGACGCUGCUCAUCGAGAUGACAGCCGUGUGUCACUUGAAGGGUUUGGCGCUGACGUGUCUCUGACCCAGACUGCGGCGACUUGGUCGCGUGGUUAUGCGGAGGUCGUUCUCCCGAGAUGCAGACGGAAAAAUCCGGAGACAGCGUGCAGACAGGGCGACCUUUUGGUCCAUGCCGCUGACCUCCAUGCAAACCAUUCGAGAUUUAAUCCGGUCCAACGGGCCCUGGAGGAUGGGGCCCGAGUAGCGAUCCUUGACUGGAGCGCCACCUGUAGUAUCAGUCAUAAUCUCAGAGGAUUACGUGAGUGCAGAGUGACGCGGCGAGGCAAUAUCAAUAAUAUCACAGUUUGUGCUGCCAUAGCAGACGCUGCGAUGAUUGCCUUUCCCCACAGAGACGAUAAAUUCAGUUACAUUUUAAUCUCCCACCCAGUCUAAGCGCAGCGACUUGCUGUAUCUAAAUGAAAUGAAGUGCUCCCCUCCCACCGCUGUGACACACAAUGGAACAUAUCUGACAGAGGAGUAAUUGGUGGAAAUGAAUGUUGUGUUCCGUGUGCACGGGCUUAUUUAUUCCGUAUAAAAACAAACGCAAUUAUUCAUAAGCAGAGGACUGUAACAACACCGAUGCAAGCUGCACCUGAGGGACUUUGACAUAACCAAAGCGGCUUUUCAUUGAGAUGUAAACUCCCAGAUAAACUGUUAUUUAAUUGAGUGUAAAGCCUGGAAUAUACUCUCGUGCCGCGUAGCUAGCGUAGGCCACGUUGUCUUGUCCCCUCCCCCUGCUUAGCCUCCUGCGAGGCUUAUGUGCACCCCCAAAAAAUCCUAGGUUGGCGCCACCGGCGACGCAGAACUACCAGUACAACAUAGUCUGAAUACCCCACGUUAGGAAUCCAUCCAUCUAUCCAUCCAUUUUCCUCCACUUAUCCGAGGUCGGGUCGCGGGGGCAGCAGCCUAAGCAGGGAAACCCAAUCUAAUCCAAUCCAACCCACUUUAUUUAUAUAGCACAUUUAAACAACAACAAUUUUUCCAAAGUGCUGCACAACAAUAUUAAAAACAAUAUUCAAAUAUUAUCCUUAGCUCCACCAAUGACUGAAUAAAAACAAAAAAUAAAUGAAUAUAAAACGAACAUAAAAACAAUAUAUAGACCAAUAACAACAAUAGACCCAGGACACGUUGGGAAGACUAUGUCUCCCGGCAGGCCUGGGAACGCCUCGGGAUCCCCCGGGAAGAGCUGGACGAAGUGGCUGGGGA